UGGGCGUAAGGGCUCGCAGGCGGUUUCUUAAGUCUGAUGUGAAAGCCCCCGGCUCAACCGGGGAGGGUCAUUGGAAACUGGGGAACUUGAGUGCAGAAGAGGAGAGUGGAAUUCCACGUGUAGCGGUGAAAUGCGUAGAGAUGUGGAGGAACACCAGUGGCGAAGGCGACUCUCUGGUCUGUAACUGACGCUGAGGAGCGAAAGCGUGGGGAGCGAACAGGAUUAGAUACCCUGGUAGUCCACGCCGUAAACGAUGAGUGCUAAGUGUUAGGGGGUUUCCGCCCCUUAGUGCUGCAGCUAACGCAUUAAGCACUCCGCCUGGGGAGUACGGUCGCAAGACUGAAACUCAAAGGAAUUGACGGGGGCCCGCACAAGCGGUGGAGCAUGUGGUUUAAUUCGAAGCAACGCGAAGAACCUUACCAGGUCUUGACAUCCUCUGACAAUCCUAGAGAUAGGACGUCCCCUUCGGGGGCAGAGUGACAGGUGGUGCAUGGUUGUCGUCAGCUCGUGUCGUGAGAUGUUGGGUUAAGUCCCGCAACGAGCGCAACCCUUGAUCUUAGUUGCCAGCAUUCAGUUGGGCACUCUAAGGUGACUGCCGGUGACAAACCGGAGGAAGGUGGGGAUGACAUCAAAUCAUCAUGCUCCUUAUGACCUGGGCUACACACGUGCUA
rnacentral:rRNA from 1 species